AUUUGAGUGAUACGCUAAAUCAGUAAUAUGUCAAGCCUCCCAAUUAGACACUUUAGCCUGUGGACCAGAAAGAAAGAUAUCAAUAAUUCCACAUGGUCACAUCCUUUUAUUUUCUAUUAUGCUUUUUAUCUGGGCAUGUGAAUAUGCUUUAUAAAAGAUAAUGAAGUAUAAAAAUUGGGCAUGUUAGAUUUGAUUUAUGUAGAUUAUUUUUAAGAUUGAGAUUGCCUUUAUGCUAUGCCUGAAUUUAUUAUAAGAUUCGUUUACACUAUUACUUGCAUACCUUGGUUGAUUGAUUGAGCUAUAUCACAUUUAGAUUUUAUUUGAUUAAUGGAGUAAAA
rnacentral:misc_RNA from 1 species